GACGAACGCUGGCGGCGUGCCUAAUACAUGCAAGUAGAACGCUGAAGGAGGAGCUUGCUUCUCCGGAUGAGUUGCGAACGGGUGAGUAACGCGUAGGUAACCUGCCUGGUAGCGGGGGAUAACUAUUGGAAACGAUAGCUAAUACCGCAUAAGAGUAGAUGUCGCAUGACAUUUGCUUAAAAGGUGCAACUGCACCACUACCAGAUGGACCUGCGUUGUAUUAGCUAGUUGGUGAGGUAACGGCUCACCAAGGCAACGAUACAUAGCCGACCUGAGAGGGGGGUCGGCCACACUGGGGCGUAGACACCGCCCAGACUCCUACGGGAGGCCGCAGUAGGGAAUCGUCGGCAAUGGUGGGAAGUCUGACCGAGCAACGCCGCGUGAGUGAAGAAGGUUUUCGGAUCGUAAAGCUCUGUUGUAAGAUAAGAACGAGUGUGAGAGUGGAAAGUUCACACUGUGACGGUAUCUGACCAGAAAGCGACGGCUAACUACGUG
rnacentral:rRNA from 1 species